AUAACCUUUUCAUUCCUGGAAUAAUCCUUGUGAACCUCCUCGGACCCUCUCCAAUGCUAGCACAUCUUUUCUAAGAUGAGGGGCCCAAAACCAUUCACAAUACUCAAGAGUUGUCUGUCUUUAUCCAAAAUCCCUACAUUGAAGAGAUGUGGAUCAACCAGACCGCUACUCUGGUGUGUAUGAUUGUGGGUGCUGAUCUGAGCCAGGUCCAAAUCCACUGGCAGGUGAAUGAGAGGGAGAAAAUCAAAGCAAACGUGACCAAAAAACUGAGAGAGGAAGGAACCCGAGAUACAGUGAUCAGCGAACUCCAGUGCAGUGUGGAGGAGUGGGCCAGUGGGGUGGAGUACACUUGCUCUGUCCAACAACCUUCUUCAACCUCACCAGUAUCAGCACGGACAAAAAGUACCAAAGUUCCAGUGGAGACAAAAGGUCCCAAAGUCAGACUGCUGCCUCCACCAGAGGGAGAGACCAAGAGUGGGAACACGGUCACCCUUGAGUGUGUUGCCUCUGGAUUCUACCCGAACCAAAUAACCAUCACCUGGGAGAAAGGGGACUCUCUGAUCUCUUCCAGCAUCAGUGAGAGACCAACUACGCUUGAACAGGCGGGAACUUUCAUUGCCAGCUACGUCCUGACCAUGAGCACAGAGGAGUGGAAGGAAGGCUCAGUUUUCAGAUGCACAGUGUCUCAUCCCCCCUCCAACACCAGCGUCAGGCAGGAUGUGAAAAACAUUCAAGAAACCUGCACAGACUUGACAGGAGAGGAGGGGAAGGAAGAACAGGGACACGUGGAUGGAGAUGACAAUGUGCCUACAGUUGCUGCCUUUGCCAUUCUGUUCAUCAUCAGUUUCCUCUACAGCACCUUCGUCACCGUUGUCAAGGUCACUGAAAAGGCACGUAACAGCAUCAAUGUCCUGGAACAGAACUUAUUGUGAGGACCAAAGCUUUUGGCCUGGUUGGUGCUUAGCUGAAGGAAACCCAACAUAGAGUGUGGAGGUGUUGGUACAAGUACAGGUGAAACAGAACUGGAUUUCAACCAGGUUCAGCAGUGACCAGCAGAUAUACA